AAUAAGUUUAGUUUUUAGUUUUUAUAUAAUGUUUGACUCUUUAUUUUAUUUAAAAUUUUUUGUGAUUAAUAUUUUUAUUGUUAUUACAUAAUAAAAUAUAAAUAGUACAUUACACACGACUAGUUUUUUAAAGUUGUUUUUAAAAAAUAUUCAAAUAAGAUGGAUGGUCAAAUGUUAUACACAGAAAUC
rnacentral:pre_miRNA from 1 species